GAUAACACUUGGAAACAGGUGCUAAUACCGUAUAACAACAAAAUCCGCAUGGAUUUUGUUUGAAAGGUGGCUUCGGCUAUCACUUCUGGAUGAUCCCGCGGCGUAUUAGUUAGUUGGUGAGGUAAAGGCCCACCAAGACGAUGAUACGUAGCCGACCUGAGAGGGUAAUCGGCCACAUUGGGACUGAGACACGGCCCAAACUCCUACGGGAGGCAGCAGUAGGGAAUCUUCCACAAUGGACGAAAGUCUGAUGGAGCAAUGCCGCGUGAGUGAAGAAGGGUUUCGGCUCGUAAAACUCUGUUGUUAAAGAAGAACACCUUUGAGAGUAACUGUUCAAGGGUUGACGGUAUUUAACCAGAAAGCCACGGCUAACUACGUGCCAGCAGCCGCGGUAAUACGUAGGUGGCAAGCGUUGUCCGGAUUUAUUGGGCGUAAAGCGAGCGCAGGCGGUUUUUUAAGUCUGAUGUG
rnacentral:rRNA from 1 species